rnacentral:rRNA from 1 species
AUUGAACGCUGGCGGCAGGCCUAACACAUGCAAGUCGAGCGAGCGGCGGAAGGGUGAGUAAUAUCUGGGAAACUGCCAGAUGGAGGGGGAUAACUACUGGAAGCGGUAGCUAAUACCGCAUACCAUCAGAUGUGCCCAGAUGGGAUUAGCUAGUAGGUGGGGUAAUGGCUCACCAAGGCGACGAUCCCUAGCUGGUCUGAGAGGAGGACCAGCCACACUGGAACUGAGACACGGUCCAGACUCCUACGGGAGGCAGCAGUGGGGAAUAUUGCACAAUGGGCGCAAGCCGUAUGCAGCCAUGCCGCGGGUGUGAAGAAGGCCUUCGGGUUGUAAAGCACUUUCAGCGGGGAGGCGUUACCCGCAGAAGAAGCACCGGCUAACUCAGUGCCAGCAGCCGCGGUAAUUC